GGAUUUCAACUGUGCCUUUGCUAUUUCCACACUUACCACUGAAUCAAUACUGUUUACGCAGAAACAGCAUUAUAGGUCAGUGGUGAACAGAUCCAACCAGGAAAGGAAUUCUGCCUGCCGGACAAAGACCUGACAGCAUGUGUGGUGAAAUAAUCUGCUCUGUUUGGCGAGUGGAGGGAAAAUCCUUCUGUACAGCUGUUGCAACAUUUCUUGAAACCUGGUGGCCUCCACGUGCCUGGCUCCCAGAAGGU